rnacentral:rRNA from 1 species
AUACGGAGGAUGCAAGCGUUAUCCGGAUUUAUUGGGUUUAAAGGGUGCGUAGGCGGAUGAUUAAGCGUGAGGUGAAAUGCCACUGCUCAACAGUGGAACUGCCUCGCGAACUGGUUGUCUUGAAUGCUCCUGCCGUGGGAGGAAUGUGUGGUGUAGCGGUGAAAUGCAUAGAGAUUACACAGAACACCGAUUGCGAAGGCAUCUCACGAAGGGUUGAUUGACACUGAGGCACGAAAGCGUGGGGAUCAAACAGGAUUAGAUACCCUGGUAGUCCACGCAGUAAACGAUGAUGGCUAACCGCUGGGCUUAUCAGUUCAGUGGCCAAGCGAAAGCGAUAAGCCAUCCACCUGGGGAGUACGACCGCAAGGUUGAAACUCAAAUGAAUUGACGGGG